AUCCGGCUGACGAGUCCCAAAUAGGACGAAAGGCGCAUUUUAGAU
rfam:Schistosoma margrebowiei strain Zambia genome assembly, scaffold: SMRZ_scaffold0000193